rnacentral:rRNA from 1 species
UGUGUAGGCGGUGCUCUAAGUCUGGUGUGAAAUCUCCCGGCUCAACUGGGAGGGUGCGCCGGAAACUGGAAUGCUCGAGUGUGGGAGAGGUAAGCGGAAUUCCUGGUGUAGCGGUGAAAUGCGUAGAUAUCAGGAGGAACACCUGUGGUGUAGACAGCUUACUGGACCACGACUGACGCUGAGACACGAAAGCGUGGGUAGCAAACAGGAUUAGAUACCCUGGUAGUCCACGCCCUAAACGAUGCAUACUUGGUGUGAGCGAUUCAUUUCGUUCGUGCCGGAGCUAACGCGUUAAGUAUGCCGCCUGGGGAGUACGGUCGCAAGGCUGAA